rnacentral:misc_RNA from 1 species
UCUCCGUAGGUGAACCUGCGGAGGGAUCAUUACUGAGUGAGGGCCUUCGGGCUCGACCUCCAACCCUUUGUGAACACAACUUGUUGCUUCGGGGGCGACCCUGCCGUUUCGACGGCGAGCGCCCCCGGAGGCCUUCAAACACUGCAUCAUUGCGUCGGAGUUAAAGUAAAUUAAACAAAACUUUCAACAACGGAUCUCUUGGUUCCAGCAUCGAUGAAGAACGAGC